rnacentral:rRNA from 1 species
UACGUAGGGGGCAAGCGUUGUCCGGAAUCAUUGGGCGUAAAGAGCGUGUAGGCGGCCCGGUAAGUCCGCUGUGAAAGUCGGGGGCUCAACCCUCGAAUGCCGGUGGAUACUGUCGGGCUAGAGUGCGGGAGAGGCGAGUGGAAUUCCUGGUGUAGCGGUGAAAUGCGCAGAUAUCAGGAGGAACACCAAUUGCGAAGGCAGCUCGCUGGAACGUUACUGACGCUGAGAACGCGAAAGCGUGGGGAGCAAACAGG